UACGGGGGGAGCAAGCGUUGUUCGGAUUUACUGGGCGUAAAGGGCGCGUAGGCGGCGCAACAAGUCACUUGUGAAAUCUCCGGGCUUAACUCGGAACGGUCAAGUGAUACUGUUGUGCUAGAGUGCGGAAGGGGUAACUGGAAUUCUCGGUGUAGCGGUGAAAUGCGUAGAUAUCGAGAGGAACACCUGCGGCGAAGGCGGGUUGCUGGGCCGACACUGACGCUGAUGCGCGAAAGCCAGGGGAGCGAACGGG
rnacentral:rRNA from 1 species